rnacentral:rRNA from 1 species
AUUGAACGCUGGCGGAAUGCUUUACACAUGCAAGUCGAACGGCAGCACGGGGGCAACCCUGGUGGCGAGUGGCGAACGGGUGAGUAACACAUCGGAACGUGCCCAAUCGUGGGGGAUAACGUAGCGAAAGCUACGCUAAUACCGCAUACGAUCUAAGGAUGAAAGCGGGGGAUCGCAAGACCUCGCGCGAGUGCAGCGGCCGAUGGCAGAUUAGGUAGUUGGUAGGGUAAAGGCCUACCAAGCCGACGAUCUGUAGCUGGUCUGAGAGGAUGAUCAGCCACACUGGGACUGAGACACGGCCCAGACUCCUACGGGAGGCAGCAGUGGGGAAUUUUGGACAAUGGACGCAAGUCUGAUCCAGCCAUUCCGCGUGCAGGAUGAAGGCCCUCGGGUUGUAAACUGCUUUUGUACAGAACGAAAAGGCUCUGGUUAAUACCUAGGGCUCAUGACGGUACUGUAAGAAUAAGCACCGGCUAACUACGUGCCAGCAGCCGCCGUAA